rnacentral:rRNA from 1 species
CUUAUCAAUAAGCGGAGGAAAAAGAAACCAACAGGGAUUGCCCUAGUAACGGCGAGUGAACAGGCAAGAGCUCAGAUUUGAAAGGCACUUUUGUGCCGUUGUAUUCUGAAGUUAGGGUCCUGAGAAACGAUGCUUAAGUAAAUUCUGGAAAGGAGCGCCAUGGAGGGUGAUAGCCCCGUCUAGCAUUGACCUCAUAUAGGAUCUUAACAUGGAGUCGAGUUGUUUGGGAAUGCAGCUCAAAUGGGUGGUAUGCUCCAUCUAAAGCUAAAUAUCUGCGAGAGACCGAUAGUAAACAAGUACUGUGAGGGAAAGAUGAAAAGAACUUUGAAAAGAGAGUGAAAAAGUACGUGAAAUUGUUGAAAUGGAAGGGUAGGCCGCUAACCAUGUAGAGCCGUGUUUGGGGGGAAGAUAAAUGCUGUAGAAUGUAGCUCCUCGGAGUAUUAUAGAUGCAGUUCAUAUUCCCACCACGAGCGCGAGGAUCUCUAGUGUCUAUACAUAAAUGGUGGUAAUCACUCUGUC